rnacentral:rRNA from 1 species
AUUGAACGCUGGCGGCAGGCUUAACACAUGCAAGUCGAGCGGAGAUGAGGUGCUUGCACCUUAUCUUAGCGGCGGACGGGUGAGUAAUGCUUAGGAAUCUGCCUAUUAGUGGGGGACAACAUUCCGAAAGGAAUGCUAAUACCGCAUACGUCCUACGGGAGAAAGCAGGGGAUCUUCGGACCUUGCGCUAAUAGAUGAGCCUAAGUCGGAUUAGCUAGUUGGUGGGGUAAAGGCCUACCAAGGCGACGAUCUGUAGCGGGUCUGAGAGGAUGAUCCGCCACACUGGGGCUGAGACACGGCCCAGACUCCUACGGGAGGCAGCAGUGGGGAAUAUUGGACAAUGGGGGGAACCCUGAUCCAGCCAUGCCGCGUGUGUGAAGAAGGCCUUAUGGUUGUAAAGCACUUUAAGCGAGGAGGAGGCUACUGAGACUAAUACUCUUGGAUAGUGGACGUUACUCGCAGAAUAAGCACCGGCUAACUCUGUGCCAGCCGCCGCAGUAAGAC